GAUGAACGCUGGCGGCGUGCCUAACACAUGCAAGUCGAGCGAAGCGCUUAAAUUAGAUUUCUUCGGAAUGACGAUUUUUGUGACUGAGCGGCGGACGGGUGAGUAACGCGUGGGUAACCUGCCUCAUACAGGGGGAUAACAGUUAGAAAUGACUGCUAAUACCGCAUAAGACCCCAGCUUCGCAUGAAGCGGUGGUAAAAACUCCGGUGGUAUGAGAUGGACCCGCGUCUGAUUAGCUAGUUGGUAAGGUAACGGCUUACCAAGGCGACGAUCAGUAGCCGAGCUGAGAGGGUGACCGGCCACAUUGGGACUGAGACACGGCCCAGACUCCUACGGGAGGCAGCAGUGGGGAAUAUUGCACAAUGGGGGAAACCCUGAUGCAGCGACGCCGCGUGAAGGAUGAAGUAUUUCGGUAUGUAAACUUCUAUCAGCAGGGAAGAAAGUGACGGUACCUGACGAAGAAGCCCCGGCUAACUACGUG
rnacentral:rRNA from 1 species